ACACAGAACAGACUGACAGUCAGUCUCUGAACAUAAAGUUUAAAGUAAAAGACGUCGACAUUAGAACACAAACAGACUCAAACAUCCUGUCUGCAUAUUUAAUAAGACAUGUGUUGAGUUCAGUGUCGGAGAGAGAAACUCAAACCAAACUCCAUUCAGCAUCUGGUGACUUUAAGAUUCCUGCCUUAUCUGCCACCUCUGAAGUCUUUUUAGUUUGUGAGGAUUAAAACACAACAACUUCCUUCACCUGUUUUUUAUGAGUCAAAUGUUUGAACUUCCGCUCUAUGUUCUGUUGACCUGCUGCCAACAUGAACUGAACCCAGAUCAGCAUCAUUAAAUCUCCAAUCUAGUUUGAACAACUUUCACUUCUGUCAGUCAUCAUCCACAUACAUGUGUAGAGUUUAACUUUAAUCAUGUGUUAGCAUUGAGAGCAGCUGUGUGCAGGUCGUGUAUCAUCAGUGGAUGAUGCAGCAGCAGACGGACAUCUGUCACACAUGAGUCACCGUCAGGAGGAAGUGGAGCAACAUGUGGUUUAAUUUCUGACAGCUUCCUGUCCAGUCCCCAGUUACCUGACCUGAUUCAGAACACACUGGGCGUGGCCUGAGUCCAGCCCAUCUAUAAUGGAUUCAGAACAGAUCAAACUUGUACUUGUCGGUCGUACAGAAGCGGAUCAGGUCCUGGAACAUGGUGUG